CAGCCGCCGCGGUAAUACCGGCGGCCCGAGUGGCGGCCACUAUUAUUGGGCUUAAAGCGUCCGUAGCCGGGUUGGUUAGUCUCCCGGGAAAUCUGGCCGCUUAACGGUCAGAAUUCCGGGAGAUACUGCCAGCCUAGGGACCGGGAGAGGCCGAGGGUAUUCCCGGAGUAGGGGUGAAAUCCUAUAAUCCCGGGAGGACCACCUGUGGCGAAGGCGCUCGGCUGGAGCGGGUCCGACGGUGAGGGACGAAGGCCAGGGGAGCAAACCGGAUUAGAUACCCGGGUAGUCCUGGCUGUAAACGAUGCGGACUUUGUGUCGGACAAGCUAUGAGCUUGUCCGGUGCCGGAGGGAAACCGUUAAGUCCGCCGCCUGGGGAGUACGGCCGCAAGGCUGAAACUUAAAGGAAUUGGCGGG
rnacentral:rRNA from 1 species